rnacentral:rRNA from 1 species
AAUGGGGGAAACCCUGAUCCAGCAAUGCCGCGUGUGUGAAGAAGGCCUGCGGGUUGUAAAGCACUUUCGUUGGGGAAGAAGGCUAUUAGUUCAAGAGAUAGAUAGUUUGACGUUACCCAAAGAAGAAGCACCGGCUAACUCCGUGCCAGCAGCCGCGGUAAGACGGAGGGUGCAAGCGUUAAUCGGAAUUACUGGGCGUAAAGGGCGCGUAGGUGGUUGACUAAGUCAGAUGUGAAAGCCAUGGGCUUAACCUGUGGAUGCCAUUUGAUACUGGUUGACUUGAGUCGUGUAGAGGGAGGUGGAAUUUCCGGUGUAGCGGUGAAAUGCGUAGAUAUCGGAAGGAACACUCGUGGCGAAGGCGACCUUCUGGACACAGACUGACACUGAGGCGCGAAAGCGUGGGUAGCGAACAGGAUU